UCUCCCCCUCACUUCCUUCUCAUUUCUUCUUCACUAUCUAUCUCUGAAGAACCGUUCGAUUAUGUCUGUGGAUCUUGAAUAAAUUUCGAUGUAAGGUAUGUUAUUAUGAUUUUCGUUGUUUCGAUUUUUCGGGCUGAUUUUUGUUCAGAAUUUUUUCUCAAUCUUUUAUUCUGAUUUGUUGUUCAAAUUUUUGUUCUUAUCUUUUUCUUCAAAAUUUUUGCUGCGAUUUUUUUCGAUAUUUUGCUUUGAUUGUUCGAGUUUUUCUUCUUAUCUGUUCGAAUUUUGGUUCUAAUUUUUUGUUGAAUUUUUCUCGCUUUUUUGUUUCUAAUUUCAUUUCCAUAUCUGAUUCAUGUUUUUUUUGUUUUUCGAUUUUUUUUCUGAGUUUCUCUUUCUUAAUUUUCAGUUUUUAAGAACUAACAUUUUUUAAGAUCUGGGAUCAUUUUCGUUUUUAAACAUUUUCAGUUUUUUAAGAUCUGGGAUCAUUUUCGUUUUUAACCAAUUUCGUUUUUCUUUGUUUUCGAUUUUAUGUUUUGUAAGUUUUGGUGGUGAUUGUUUGAUUUUUGAUUUCUUGGGAUUUGUAUGAGAGUUUUGGUUGUGAUUGUUUGAUUUUCUGUUUUUCUGAUUAUUUCACUGUUUCUAACUAUUCAAUGGUGGCGAUAGUGUUCUUAAUUUUAAUCCUGUUGUCAGUCGAAGUUUUACUAUGUCCUUGACGAGGGAGUGCAUAUGUCCAAUGGUCCUAACUCGUGGAAGGUGAAUGCUUUAACUUGGAUCUUCAUCUUGCCUCUGUUUGACUUUUUGAUUGAACAUUUUGUGAUGAUCUGACCCUAUAUUUCAAUUUUGGGGACAGUAUAUUUGUCUUUGGUUAACAUGUAAAGUUUCUACUCUUAACUCUUCCCAUAUCUUUUUAUAUGUUUGUUUCAGUGAUCAACUUCCAGUUAGCACAAAGUAUGAUAUGAGAAGUGAUCUUGGUGUUGCAAGAAACUAUGGGAGACUAUUACUAGAAAUGGUUUCUGUUGUUCCUGAUGGAGUUGUGUGUUUCUUCGUCAGUUAUUCAUAUACGGAUGCCAUUGUUAAUACUUGGAAUGAAACGGGAAUUCUAAAGGUACAAAUGGUGUAUUGGUGCAGGAGCUCUUAUUUUUUUCGGUUUUUUCACCAUAUAUCCGUUACAAAUUUGGUGUUCAGACGGUGGUGUUCAGACGGUGGUGUUUAGACAGUGGUGGUGGUCGUGGCAGUGAGGUGGUGCUGCUGGUGGUUGGUCAAUGGGAUGGGUGUUAGUAGUUGUGCUAAUUACCUUAAUUUUGUUAAUAUAUUUUCUCUUUCUUGCUUAAUUUUUCUGCUUUAUGCUUUUAUCAAUAUAAUACAUCAUUCCUAGUUUUCUGCCCAAACAGUAAAUGUUGUGGAUUGACUAUGUUUUCGAAUCACUUAAUUCUUGUUCUUGAUAGUUGUGUAAACCUACUAGAGGUAGUUUCAAGAAGAGUGUUAUUCGAUGUUGUAGUACAGCCAUGCUAUAUCAUAUUUAGAGCUAAAGAAAUUAAGCGAAGUGGAACCAGACUGCUGUCUGCAGCCCUGAUAUUUCAGUUCAGAAUGUUAAACACAAUGUAUAUGCUAGAAUUAGCUCUGUAAUGCCUAAAAAUCCAGUUGCAGAGAUAAGGACUGGUUCAAUUGUACUCUGGCUUAGCUGAUUGUAUGUGAGUCUAUUGUCUCUUGGUCUUUGUUGUUGUUUUGCAGGUGUUUCUACAAGUGAUUAGGGCUUUGAUGGUACCCUUUCUAGAAGGUGAAUAUAUGUUGCUCAAUGAUGCAUUUGCAACUCUAUGGUUUUGUACAAGAUUGAAUUGCGUUCAAGUUGAAGUUUUAUGUUGAAGAUUCACUGAAGGUUGAAUGUCGGUUGAAGAUGGAAAUUUCUACAUAUUUUUUAUUUUUUUUAUUUCCUCUUCUGAAAGUUUGUAUCAAUUCGUCAAAAUUGUUAGUAAUAAGAUUAUACUUCUAGUUUCCUUUAUUAAUUUAUAAUGUUAUUUUUUCUUGUUGAUGUAAGAAUGUGCUUGUAACUGUUACUAUACUAAUAACACAAUGUUGGCGCUUACAAGUGUCUAUAUAGUAGCUUCAAAUUGCGGCAUCUUCAAUUGCAAUGAUGCUAAAAAGCCUCAACAUUUUCGAAGCCUAUCAGUGUCGUUAA